rnacentral:rRNA from 1 species
AUUGAACGCUGGCGGCAGGCUUAACACAUGCAAGUCGAGCGGAGAGAGGUAGCUUGCUACUGAUCUUAGCGGCGGACGGGUGAGUAAUGCUUAGGAAUCUGCCUAUUAGUGGGGGACAACAUUUCGAAAGGAAUGCUAAUACCGCAUACGUCCUGCGGGAGAAAGCAGGGGAUCUUCGGACCUUGCGCUAAUAGAUGAGCCUAAGUCGGAUUAGCUAGUUGGUGGGGUAAAGGCCUACCAAGGCGACGAUCUGUAGCGGGUCGGAGAGGAUGAUCCGCCACACUGGGACUGAGACACGGCCCAGACUCCUACGGGAGGCAGCAGUGGGGAAUAUUGGACAAUGGGCGGAAGCCUGAUCCAGCCAUGCCGCGUGUGUGAAGAAGGCCUUAUGGUUGUAAAGCACUUUAAGCGAGGAGGAGGCUACUUUAGUUAAUACCUAGAGAUAGUGGACGUUACUCGCAGAAUAAGCACCGGCUAACUCUGUGCCAGCAGCCGCCGUAAGAC